UACGUAGGUGGCGAGCGUUGUCCGGAUUUACUGGGCGUAAAGAGCGCGCAGGCGGUCGUUCAAGUCGCGUGUGGAAGCCCCCGGCUCAACUGGGGAGGGUCACGCGAUACUGAUCGACUCGAAGGCAGGAGAGGGAAGUGGAAUUCCCGGUGUAGUGGUGAAAUGCGUAGAUAUCGGGAGGAACACCAGUGGCGAAGGCGACUUCCUGGCCUGUUCUUGACGCUGAGGCGCGAAAGCUAGGGGAGCAAACGGG
rnacentral:rRNA from 1 species